UCCCUGGUGCUUUAACGGCAAAGGAUGCUGUUCUCUUACCGCCAAGGCCCGGAUUCGAUUCCCGGCCAGGGAU